ensembl:snoRNA U8 U8 small nucleolar RNA
ACAUAAGUAAGAUGAUCUUUACCUAUUCUUUUUUUGGGGGGAGAGCUUGGGACUAGAUGAUUGGAGUUGCCAAUAAUACAUGAUUAACGUCUCCGUGUAAUCAAGACUUGCACUGCCCUGAUUGCUCCUGUGUUCU